GCUUUUAUAUUUUUUGCAAUUUCUUUCUGUUUAGUUUCCUAGUCGAAAUCUUCUCAAUGCGUCAUCUUUGAUUCACUCUGCUUGUUUUUAUCCAUGGCAUCUCGGGAGUACGAAAAGAUGCGAUGCGAAAUCGAUUUCAAAACGGCACUACAUGGUGCCGAUCUAUCUAGCGGUUUUGCCAUUUCUCGAUUGUUCAUUUGUUUCUUGCUUCCCAAACCCUCGUCAAACGCAUCGAUUGAUGUAUCCGAUCCCGAUUUCUUGUUUCUGAUCUUUUUUUUAUUUUAAAUGUGGUUUUGUGAAAUUGAUCUGCUCGAUGAUGAUUGUUUUUGCUUUAACCACACCGAAGCGAGCUGAGGUUGUGUCUUGAUCCUAAUUCAUUUAAGCUUUUUAGGAGAUAUUCUUCUUGUGAUUGUUUUUCGCCUGACGACUCUUAUUUUGAAGUAAUUUUUUUUCUGGGCUUAAACGUUUUAGGAUUCACCAGCUUCGAGCUUUCGCAUGUGGAGAACUUUGGCCUUUUUCUGAGAGCAAUUACAUUUAACGAUUUUAGUCUGUUUACUGAUCAAUUGAACUAAUGUUUUUGUCUGUUGGGAAUUAGUGAUCCUAAUUGGAACUACAUAAGUUACAAUAAUUACAUGAUCCAAAGAAAAGAACCGAAGACGGUUUUUUCCUUGACAUUCACUUUAUUUUGACGAGGAGAUUCUCUUUUUGCUGAUGAUUCUAUGUUCACGAGUAUGGGGUCUACGUAGUAUACGUUCUUGAACUUUUUAAUUGUGAUUCUAUGUAGUAAACAUCCAUAGAAGAACAUAAUAGGACACCUGUGUAACACAGAUUUGAUGACUUGCACAGUUAAUAUUAUGGUUGUACCCAUUGAAAUUUCUACUCGUGAACUUUUGAUUUUGGAUCAAGGAAUGAAUAAACUGUGUAAAAUUUCAAAACGACUUGCUUUUAUUCCCAAAUGACUGACUUGUGUGGAAAAAUUAAGUUCACAAUGAAUCCACUGAACAGGAAUCUGUUCUGAAAUUAGUUCCCAAAUAGUAUCUCUUUGUUGCCCAAUAUUUGUACCAGAGAUUAGAGUCCAGGAAAACAGAGUAGCUACCAAAUGGUUGCAAACUGAUUUGCACCAUACCAAAUUCUGUUACUGUGUUUGUGAAGUCGAAACUAUGUUACAGGCUAGAGGGCCAGAGAGGACAACGUUGAGAUGCUACGGAGAGCAUGAGGCUAUUGCAAAAGACAGGCGUUGAGACGCCGUAUGUGGCAUUUCCACGCUACCAAUUGGACACCCCAGCUGCCAACACCCGCUCAACACUACUUUACACUGUUGUGAUGCUAUAAUGAUUUUGAAAAAUACAUUUGUUGGCAGCUACUCUUUGCUGGGGUAGAGAGUUUUAUUCUCUGUGUAAGGCUAGUUCACUACUGUUGUGGUUUCUUGAAGUGGUUUUGUAGUGUAAGGUGAGAGCCAUUUGUAAUUUCCACAUAUAGUAGAACAUGCAGUGUCCUGAGUUGGGGUUGUGCUCAACCUUGCAAUGUCUACACUACCACUGCAUCUUGAACUAUACACUGAGUGCAAGGAUGGACCUAUUGAAGUAUCUCUUUGAAAAGCCCGCUCGUAGUAGUAAACUAUUCUUGUGAAGUUGAUGUCAUGAAUUAAAUUUAUGUCAUGAAUUAAAUUUAUGGAAUGAUAUAUCGAAAGAUUUGGAUAA